rnacentral:piRNA from 1 species
UGAUUUGGUUGAAUCUGUUAUGGAGAU